AACGAACGCUGGCGGCAGGCCUAACACAUGCAAGUCGAGCGCCCCGCAAGGGGAGCGGCAGACGGGUGAGUAACGCGUGGGAAUCUACCGUGCCCUACGGAAUAACGCAUGGAAACGUGUGCUAAUACCGUAUACGCCCUACGGGGGAAAGAUUUAUCGGGGUAUGAUGAGCCCGCGUUGGACUAGCUAGUUGGUGGGGUAAAGGCCUACCAAGGCGACGAUCCAUAGCUGGUCUGAGAGGAUGAUCAGCCACAUUGGGACUGAGACACGGCCCAAACUCCUACGGGAGGCAGCAGUGGGGAAUAUUGGACAAUGGGCGCAAGCCUGAUCCAGCCAUGCCGCGUGAGUGAUGAAGGUCUUAGGAUUGUAAAGCUCUUUCACCGGUGAAGAUAAUGACGGUAACCGGAGAAGAAGCCCCGGCUAACUUCGUGCCAGCCGCCGCAGUAAAAC
rnacentral:rRNA from 1 species